rnacentral:rRNA from 1 species
GACGAACGCUGGCGGCGUGCCUAAUACAUGCAAGUCGAACGAACUCUGGUAUUGAUUGGUGCUUGCAUCAUGAUUACAUUUGAGUGAGUGGCGAACUGGUGAGUAACACGUGGGAAACCUGCCCAGAAGCGGGGGAUAACACCUGGAAACAGAUGCUAAUACCGCAUAACAACUUGGACCGCAUGGUCCGAGCUUGAAAGAUGGCUUCGGCUAUCACUUUUGGAUGGUCCCGCGGCGUAUUAGCUAGAUGGUGGGGUAACGGCUCACCAUGGCAAUGAUACGUAGCCGACCUGAGAGGGUAAUCGGCCACAUUGGGACUGAGACACGGCCCAAACUCCUACGGGAGGCAGCAGUAGGGAAUCUUCCACAAUGGACGAAAGUCUGAUGGAGCAACGCCGCGUGAGUGAAGAAGGGUUUCGGCUCGUAAAACUCUGUUGUUAAAGAAGAACAUAUCUGAGAGUAACUGUUCAGGUAUUGACGGUAUUUAACCAGAAAGCCACGGCUAACUACGUGCCAGCAGCCGCGGUAAUACGUAGGUGGCAAGCGUUGUCCGGAUUUAUUGGGCGUAAAGCGAGCGCAGGCGGUUUUUUAAGUCUGAUGUGAAAGCCUUCGGCUCAACCGAAGAAGUGCAUCGGAAACUGGGAAACUUGAGUGCAGAAGAGGACAGUGGAACUCCAUGUGUAGCGGUGAAAUGCGUAGAUAUAUGGAAGAACACCAGUGGCGAAGGCAGCUGUCUGGUCUGUAACUGACGCUGAGGCUCGAAAGUAUGGGUAGCAAACAGGAUUAGAUACCCUGGUAGUCCAUACCGUAAACGAUGAAUGCUAAGUGUUGGAGGGUUUCCGCCCUUCAGUGCUGCAGCUAACGCAUUAAGCAUUCCGCCUGGGGAGUACGGCCGCAAGGCUGAAACUCAAAGGAAUUGACGGGGGCCCGCACAAGCGGUGGAGCAUGUGGUUUAAUUCGAAGCUACGCGAAGAACCUUACCAGGUCUUGACAUACUAUGCAAAUCUAAGAGAUUAGACGUUCCCUUCGGGGACAUGGAUACAGGUGGUGCAUGGUUGUCGUCAGCUCGUGUCGUGAGAUGUUGGGUUAAGUCCCGCAACGAGCGCAACCCUUAUUAUCAGUUGCCAGCAUUAAGUUGGGCACUCUGGUGAGACUGCCGGUGACAAACCGGAGGAAGGUGGGGAUGACGUCAAAUCAUCAUGCCCCUUAUGACCUGGGCUACACACGUGCUACAAUGGAUGGUACAACGAGUUGCGAACUCGCGAGAGUAAGCUAAUCUCUUAAAGCCAUUCUCAGUUCGGAUUGUAGGCUGCAACUCGCCUACAUGAAGUCGGAAUCGCUAGUAAUCGCGGAUCAGCAUGCCGCGGUGAAUACGUUCCCGGGCCUUGUACACACCGCCCGUCACACCAUGAGAGUUUGUAACACCCAAAGUCGGUGGGGUAACCUUUUAGGAACCAGCCGCCUAAGGUGGGACAGAUGAUUAGGGUG